GUUGGGCUCUCGUGCUGUGAAACAGGGAGGGGUCUCUCAGGCUGGGGCAUGCAUGAGGGCACAGAGAAGUGAUAUGGAGGGAUUUCCACGUCUGAUAAUAUGGUGCUUUGUGCCUGCUCCAGCUAAAAAUAACAAAAAAUGCUGGAUAGAAUUAAAAAAUAACAUGUUUCAAAGCAAUGAAGAGCUCACAGGGCAGUAAGAGAACGCUGAGUCCCAGAGGUGAGCAGGACACCAGGGCCCCUCAUGCCCUGAGAGCACUGGCCCCACUAAGCCAAAAGGACCUUUGGUUUCACAGUCUGUGGAGUGAGGAAGACAGAGCCUGAAGCCCAGCGUUCGUUGAGGAGAGGAGACACAGGGGCAGCCCCCAUGAUGCUGGGACCCCAAAGGACUCCACACUCCAGCUAGAGCCAGAGGAAACCCAGCCCCACCCCAUCAGACCCUCCCGGAACGGAGGGCAGGACACAGACCUCAGGCUUGAGGAUGGCCACAUCUCUGGAGCAGGCGUUGGCUACAGUCGUGAGCACCUUCCGGAAAUACGCAGAGCUCUCCGGGGCAAGCACGGGCUCUGCCAGGCAGGGCUCAAGGAGCUGCUACAGAAGGAGCUGCCCACCUGGACCCCGAUGGGGCUCCGAGAGGGUGACUACAGUGCGUUCAUGAGCGUCCUGGACACCGACAAGGACUGCAAGGUGGACUUUGUGGAGUACGUGUGCUCCCUGGCCUGCCUCUGCACUUUCUGCCAUGACUACUUCAAGGACGUGACCCCCGUGACCCCCUGCUCCCAGUAGGCUCUGCUCCUGAGGACAGGGGUCUGCUCGGGCAGGACCUGUCCCCCCACCCCCGUCCUGCACCUCCAGCAUCCCAGCUAGAGAGUCACAGAGCUGCUGCCCCCUCCCACGGCCGUGACUGUGGUGGGGAAGGGCACAUUCAGCCCCUAAUAAAGUGCUGGUGUCACUC